AUUGAACGCUGGCGGCAUGCUUUACACAUGCAAGUCGAACGAGUGGCGAACGGGUGAGUAAUAUAUCGGAACGUACCGAGUAAUGGGGGAUAACCAAUAGAAAGAUUGGAUAAUACCGAAUAAUAUACGAGCGGCCGAGCACUGAUUAGCUAGUUGGGGGGGUAAAGGCCUACCACGGCGACGAUCAGUAGCGGGUCUGAGAGGACGAGCCGCCACACUGGGACUUAGACAGUGCCCAGACUCCUACGGGAGGCAGCAGUGGGGAAUUUUGGACAAUGGGGGCAACCCUGAUCCAGCCAUGCCGGUUGUAUGAAGAAGGCCUCCGGGUUGUAAAGUACUUUUGUUAGGGAAGCGGUACCUAAAGAAUAAGCACCGGCUAACUACGUGCCAGCAGCCGCGGUAAUUC
rnacentral:rRNA from 1 species